GGGUUGUGAGGUUAAGCGACUAAGCGUACACGGUGGAUGCCCUGGCAGUCAGAGGCGAUGAAGGACGUGCUAAUCUGCGAUAAGCGUCGGUAAGGUGAUAUGAACCGUUAUAACCGGCGAUUUCCGAAUGGGGAAACCCAGUGUGUUUCGACACACUAUCAUUAACUGAAUCCAUAGGUUAAUGAGGCGAACCGGGGGAACUGAAACAUCUAAGUACCCCGAGGAAAAGAAAUCAACCGAGAUUCCCCCAGUAGCGGCGAGCGAACGGGGAGCAGCCCAGAGCCUGAAUCAGUGUGUGUGUUAGUGGAAGCGUCUGGAAAGGCGCGCGAUACAGGGUGACAGCCCCGUACACAAAAAUGCACAUGCUGUGAGCUCGAUGAGUAGGGCGGGACACGUGGUAUCCUGUCUGAAUAUGGGGGGACCAUCCUCCAAGGCUAAAUACUCCUGACUGACCGAUAGUGAACCAGUACCGUGAGGGAAAGGCGAAAAGAACCCCGGCGAGGGGAGUGAAAAAGAACCUGAAACCGUGUACGUACAAGCAGUGGGAGCACGCUUAGGCGUGUGACUGCGUACCUUUUGUAUAAUGGGUCAGCGACUUAUAUUCUGUAGCAAGGUUAACCGAAUAGGGGAGCCGAAGGGAAACCGAGUCUUAACUGGGCGUUAAGUUGCAGGGUAUAGACCCGAAACCCGGUGAUCUAGCCAUGGGCAGGUUGAAGGUUGGGUAACACUAACUGGAGGACCGAACCGACUAAUGUUGAAAAAUUAGCGGAUGACUUGUGGCUGGGGGUGAAAGGCCAAUCAAACCGGGAGAUAGCUGGUUCUCCCCGAAAGCUAUUUAGGUAGCGCCUCGUGAAUUCAUCUCCGGGGGUAGAGCACUGUUUCGGCAAGGGGGUCAUCCCGACUUACCAACCCGAUGCAAACUGCGAAUACCGGAGAAUGUUAUCACGGGAGACACACGGCGGGUGCUAACGUCCGUCGUGAAGAGGGAAACAACCCAGACCGCCAGCUAAGGUCCCAAAGUCAUGGUUAAGUGGGAAACGAUGUGGGAAGGCCCAGACAGCCAGGAUGUUGGCUUAGAAGCAGCCAUCAUUUAAAGAAAGCGUAAUAGCUCACUGGUCGAGUCGGCCUGCGCGGAAGAUGUAACGGGGCUAAACCAUGCACCGAAGCUGCGGCAGCGACGCUUAUGCGUUGUUGGGUAGGGGAGCGUUCUGUAAGCCUGCGAAGGUGUGCUGUGAGGCAUGCUGGAGGUAUCAGAAGUGCGAAUGCUGACAUAAGUAACGAUAAAGCGGGUGAAAAGCCCGCUCGCCGGAAGACCAAGGGUUCCUGUCCAACGUUAAUCGGGGCAGGGUGAGUCGACCCCUAAGGCGAGGCCGAAAGGCGUAGUCGAUGGGAAACAGGUUAAUAUUCCUGUACUUGGUGUUACUGCGAAGGGGGGACGGAGAAGGCUAUGUUGGCCGGGCGACGGUUGUCCCGGUUUAAGCGUGUAGGCUGGUUUUCCAGGCAAAUCCGGAAAAUCAAGGCUGAGGCGUGAUGACGAGGCACUACGGUGCUGAAGCAACAAAUGCCCUGCUUCCAGGAAAAGCCUCUAAGCAUCAGGUAACAUCAAAUCGUACCCCAAACCGACACAGGUGGUCAGGUAGAGAAUACCAAGGCGCUUGAGAGAACUCGGGUGAAGGAACUAGGCAAAAUGGUGCCGUAACUUCGGGAGAAGGCACGCUGAUAUGUAGGUGAGGUCCCUCGCGGAUGGAGCUGAAAUCAGUCGAAGAUACCAGCUGGCUGCAACUGUUUAUUAAAAACACAGCACUGUGCAAACACGAAAGUGGACGUAUACGGUGUGACGCCUGCCCGGUGCCGGAAGGUUAAUUGAUGGGGUUAGCGCAAGCGAAGCUCUUGAUCGAAGCCCCGGUAAACGGCGGCCGUAACUAUAACGGUCCUAAGGUAGCGAAAUUCCUUGUCGGGUAAGUUCCGACCUGCACGAAUGGCGUAAUGAUGGCCAGGCUGUCUCCACCCGAGACUCAGUGAAAUUGAACUCGCUGUGAAGAUGCAGUGUACCCGCGGCAAGACGGAAAGACCCCGUGAACCUUUACUAUAGCUUGACACUGAACAUUGAGCCUUGAUGUGUAGGAUAGGUGGGAGGCUUUGAAGUGUGGACGCCAGUCUGCAUGGAGCCGACCUUGAAAUACCACCCUUUAAUGUUUGAUGUUCUAACGUUGACCCGUAAUCCGGGUUGCGGACAGUGUCUGGUGGGUAGUUUGACUGGGGCGGUCUCCUCCUAAAGAGUAACGGAGGAGCACGAAGGUUGGCUAAUCCUGGUCGGACAUCAGGAGGUUAGUGCAAUGGCAUAAGCCAGCUUGACUGCGAGCGUGACGGCGCGAGCAGGUGCGAAAGCAGGUCAUAGUGAUCCGGUGGUUCUGAAUGGAAGGGCCAUCGCUCAACGGAUAAAAGGUACUCCGGGGAUAACAGGCUGAUACCGCCCAAGAGUUCAUAUCGACGGCGGUGUUUGGCACCUCGAUGUCGGCUCAUCACAUCCUGGGGCUGAAGUAGGUCCCAAGGGUAUGGCUGUUCGCCAUUUAAAGUGGUACGCGAGCUGGGUUUAGAACGUCGUGAGACAGUUCGGUCCCUAUCUGCCGUGGGCGCUGGAGAACUGAGGGGGGCUGCUCCUAGUACGAGAGGACCGGAGUGGACGCAUCACUGGUGUUCGGGUUGUCAUGCCAAUGGCACUGCCCGGUAGCUAAAUGCGGAAGAGAUAAGUGCUGAAAGCAUCUAAGCACGAAACUUGCCCCGAGAUGAGUUCUCCCUGACCCUUUAAGGGUCCUGAAGGAACGUUGAAGACGACGACGUUGAUAGGCCGGGUGUGUAAGCGCAGCGAUGCGUUGAGCUAACCGGUACUAAUGAACCGUGAGGCUUAACCUUACAACGCCGAAGCUGUU
rnacentral:rRNA from 6 species